UGGGGCAAGACCGUCCACGUAAGAUGGGA
rnacentral:piRNA from 1 species